AUGUUAAUGAAAAAGUGCAAUCACCAAAUGGGAGGUUUUGCUUUGACCACUGUGGCCUGGCUACUCUGCUGCAUAUCCACAGGCCUCCCUCAGUGGCAAGUGUGGCACUAUGAAGAUCCUGUGAUCCUCAAGCCUACAGUGGCUUUAGUGGGCAUGUGGAGAGCCUGCGUUUUCCACACUGACAGCAACACCAGCAACACCAGAGUAUGUUACCAAUACAAAUACGGUGACUCCAUUCCUUUGUAUAUUCGAGUAAACCAGCACUUGCUGCUGGUUUCUAGCUUUCUUGGUCUUUUUGGGAAAAUCACCACCAUUAUUGCUCUUUCAAAUGUGCGUAUGGGAAGAGUACAGAGGAAUGCCACCUGCAAUCCAUUCAGACUUUCAGGCAUACUGAACAUCAUUGCUAGCAGCUUUCUUUACCUUCCUGUUUUGUUCAAUUACAUAGCCAUCAUGCUCAAAUGGAAGGUUGCCUUCCCACCAUCUUUCAAUUUUCCUUUCCAGCCAGACACUCAGAAGAUGGGAAGUGCCGUGGCUUUGGCAAUUAUAUCUGCAGUUUUCUUUCUACUAAGUGGAACAAUUUGCCUUUCUUCAAAUUUAGCCAUAGGCAAGAUGCCCCGUUCUAAAAUUUAA
rnacentral:lncRNA from 1 species